rnacentral:rRNA from 1 species
GGACUACUGGGGUAUCUAAUCCUGUUUGCUCCCCACGCUUUCGCACAUGAGCGUCAGUUUCGGGCCAGUUGGCCGCCUUCGCCACUGGUGUUCUUCCUAAUAUCUACGAAUUUCACCUCUACACUAGGAAUUCCGCCAACCUCUCCCGAACUCAAGACAGACAGUAUCAAAGGCAAUUCCGAGGUUGAGCCCCGGGAUUUCACCCCUGACUUAUCAAUCCGCCUGCGUGCGCUUUACGCCCAGUGAUUCCGAACAACGCUAGCCCCCUUCGUAUUACCGCGGCUGCUGGCAC